rnacentral:rRNA from 1 species
UACAGAGGUCUAAAGCGUUGUUCGGAUUCAUUGGGCGUAAAGGGUGUGUAGGUGGCGCCGUAAGUCGGGUGUGAAAUUUCGGAGCUUAACUCCGAAACUGCAUUCGAUACUGCGGUGCUUGAGGACUGGAGAGGAGACUGGAAUUCAUGGUGUAGCAGUGAAAUGCGUAGAGAUCAUGAGGAACACCAGUGGCGAAGGCGGGUCUCUGGACAGUUCCUGACACUGAGGCACGAAGGCCAGGGGAGCAAACGGG